AUAUAUAGUAAUAAAUUGAUUAGAUUAUCAUGUCUCUGAGCUAUGCUGGUGUCUAUUAUAUUCACAUUCCUCACAACACUGUUUUCCCUUCUGAAGUGAACCUGAUUAUUGCUGCCUUAUUUUUAACAGCCCCACCCCUGCCUAGUUUUUAUAGGUUUUGUCCCCAAUCACUAUUUUUUCUCAUUCUAUUUGUGUGUCUACGCAUACACACACACACACACACACACACACACACACACACAAAUCAUUUGAUGUUUUCUCCUCUAGCUAAGGCCAAAGAGCCUAGGGAUGUUGUCUGAGGAAAGCCCUGAACAAGAAUAAACUUGUACUGUGUCCCAACAAGCAUUCCUCUGACCUUUGCAGCUUCCAUUGGGCACUUGUCCCAGUUUCAGAGUGGAGAUGCCCUAGGUCUGGCUGAAGCUGCAAAGACCUUUUGCAUAAGCAACCAUCUUGCUAUCAGUGACCUGAACAGAAAGAUGCUUCAGCUGAGAGCUAUGAGAUGUCAUUGAGCUUGGGUGAUAAAGGAAAUGCUCCGUUUUGAAAUCAUCUUAAAGUUUAAUUUGAUAAACCGGCAAAAUGGCGAAACACUGACAUUAAUGAGCAUUUUUGCAAAGGUUUUGUUUCAGAAUUACCCAUUCUUCAAAGUAGGCCAUCUUGACUUUGCAGACACAGAUCUGUCCAUGACCAUUCCUGGAUAUUUAAGUAUAGACUUCUUUGGUCAGCUUCCUGUUAAAUCAGCUUCACCCCGUCUUGACCUGGGCAAACUCCCUUGGUAAGCUGUUUCCUGAAUAAUGUCUGGUUUGAGUCACAUGCCCCUGUGGACCUACUGUCCUGACAAGUCCAUUGUGGCUUGUAUUGGCUCCUGGUAUUGUAUGAACUAGCUAUAUUUUUCUCACUUUGUUUUUGUUUGGUUGUGCAAACAAAUUAUAGAGUUGGGUCAGGCUGCUUUCCAAUGCCACUGCAAAGAGGAAAUGAGGAAGUGUCAUAUGAUGGAAGAAAAGGGGGAUAUUUAAUAUUUUUAGCUACUACUGUUUUCUUGUGGUAUUGAAACUGCUUAGGUGGUGGAACUAGCUCAGAUGUAGGCCUGUAGGUGGCUUUGGAUUUUUGUAAGAUACUUUAUUUCUCUCAGCCAAAUGCACAUAUUCCUCAGAGAGCAGAAAUGCACACAAAAACUGUUAUUCUGAA